rnacentral:rRNA from 1 species
CUUGGUCAUUUAGAGGAAGUAAAAGUCGUAACAAGGUUUCCGUAGGUGAACUGCGGAAGGAUCAUUAAAUAUCAGUAGUUUACUACUGUAUGAGAGGGGGGAAAACACCCAGGCCUGUCCCUUGAGGGCAGGCCCGGUCACUGGAGUACCCUUCUGUCUUAACCCUUGUUUCUUGCGCACUUGUGUUUCCUCGGCAGGCUUGCCUGCCGUUUGGACAAACCAAUAACCUUUUUAAUUUUCAAUCAGCGUCUGAAUUAUUUUAAUAAUUACAACUUUCAACAACGGAUCUCUUGGUUCUGGCAUCGAUGAAGAACGCAGCGAAAUGCGAUAAGUAGUGUGAAUUGCAGAAUUCAGUGAAUCAUCGAAUCUUUGAACGCACAUUGCGCCCCUUGGUAUUCCAUGGGGCAUGCCUGUUCGAGCGUCAUUUGUACUCUCAAGCCUUGCUUGGUGUUGGGUGUUUGUCUUUGCUCUGCCUAGACUCGCCUUAAAUAUAUUGGCAGCCGGUAUUUUGGUUUGAAGCGCAGCACAUUUGCUUUUCAAAUCUUUAUUAUUGGUACCCAUAAGCAUUUUAACACUUUUGACCUCGGAUCAGGUAGGGAUACCCGCUGAACUUAAGCAUAUCAAUAAGCGGAGGAAAAGAAACCAACAGGGAUUGCCCCAGUAACGGCGA